AGAAAAGUGAGUGCCGCCCCGCACAGGGGCAACGCUAAUAGACCACCAAGUCAGCAAGGAAAGGCCAACACCCGCAGAACACAACCAACGCCCCACGCAGGCAAAAAAGUCAAAGCUUCUGCUCCACAGCGAGCAUCAA
rnacentral:sRNA from 1 species